rnacentral:tRNA from 2 species
GGCGGCGUAGCCAAGUGGCCAAGGCAGUGGUCUGCAAAACCAUUAUUCAGCGGUUCAAAUCCGCUCGCCGCCUCCA